rnacentral:rRNA from 1 species
CUGGCGGUAGGCUUAACACAUGCAAGUCGUGCGAGAAAGUACCUUCGGGUGCGAGUAGAGCGGCGGACGGGUGAGUAACGCGUAGGAAUCUACCUAGUAGAAGGGGAUAGCCCGGGGAAACUCGGAUUAAUACCGUAUACCUCCUUAGGGAGAAAGAGGGCUUAGCUUUGAUGCUCUCGCUAUUAGAUGAGCCUGCGUAAGAUUAGCUUGUUGGUGAGGUAAUGGCUCACCAAGGCGACGAUCUUUAGCUGGUCUGAGAGGACGAUCAGCCACAUUGGGACUGAGACACGGCCCAGACUCCUACGGGAGGCAGCAGUGGGGAAUAUUGGACAAUGGGCGCAAGCCUGAUCCAGCCAUACCGCGUGUGUGAAGAAGGCUUUCGGGUUGUAAAGCACUUUAAGUAAGGAGGAAAAGAUUGUAGUUAAUACCUGCAAUCCGUGACGUUACUUACAGAAUAAGGACCGG